UGGGGAAUAUUGGACAAUGGGCGCAAGCCUGAUCCAGCCAUGCCGCGUGAGUGAUGAAGGCCCUAGGGUUGUAAAGCUCUUUCACCGGUGAAGAUAAUGACGGUAACCGGAGAAGAAGCCCCGGCUAACUUCGUGCCAGCAGCCGCGGUAAUACGAAGGGGGCUAGCGUUGUUCGGAUUUACUAGGCGUAAAGCGCACGUAGGCGGACUUUUAAGUCAGGGGUGAAAUCCCGGGGCUCAACCCCGGAACUGCCUUUGAUACUGGAAGUCUUGAGUAUGGUAGAGGUGAGUGGAAUUCCGAGUGUAGAGGUGAAAUUCGUAGAUAUUCGGAGGAACACCAGUGGCGAAGGCGGCUCACUGGACCAUUACUGACGCUGAGGUGCGAAAGCGUGGGGAGCAAACAGG
rnacentral:rRNA from 1 species